ACCCUUCCUUACCUCGUAAACCGACAGACCUGGGUUUCGCCGCUGCUCCUGUUCCUCGAGCAGCCUUCAAGCAGUGGAAAUUACGGAGAAAUGAACAUUCUGAAAGCGCCUAGUAAAUGGUAAAGGCCUGGCUACUGCAGGAAGAAAAGGGCAAGGCAGGCAUCUCCAGAGCACAGCCUCGGGCGUGGUGAGAGGCGCGCGCUGGGCGCUGUGUGGGGGUGGGGAGCGCUUUUGUGCACCGCUGGUUCCUCCGCAGGCUCAGGUGUGUGCGGACAGGUGUCGCCACCUCCUUCCAGACCGUCUGCCCCUUGGGGGGAGGCAGAGUCUGUGCCUGCACCCGCCAACCCGGGACCUGAACUGGGAGCCACGUGUUGCCCUGUGAAAAAAGCCCCCGAGUGGUUGUGGUUUGCUUUUUUACACCACAGAUUGGGUUAGAAUCAUUUUCCAAAAACUUGCAAGACUUGAUCACCCUUGCUUUAAUCGGCAAGGAAGGGGGCUCAGAGAGGUUAUCGCAACGUAGGGAGGCCGCCCGAUCCGUAAGCAGGGAAACCGGAACUCGACCUGGAUCUAUGGACUGCCAAGUUCAGGCCCUUUCCAGCCUCAGUAUUUGCUAACCAGGAAGUUUUCAGGCUCUCAGGCGCGCCCCCUACGCGGUUUCUGGUUCACUCCU
rnacentral:lncRNA from 1 species